GAAAAUGUUAACCUUCUUGUUUUUGUUUUUACUUCAUAUAGACAAAACAGAAAUUGUAUAUAUGUUGUACUAGGCUAGGUACAUGUAUGAUGUAUCUCCAUAGUCUAGUUACGCUCGUGCGUGUAUCUUUAUAAAUAUAUAAUUCACACAAGGCUCUCUCUCUAUCUUUCUCUCAAGAGCUAUGGAUGAAUGGGAAAGCGUUUCAUGUAUUGAAGAACCACCAAAGUGCCAUAAUCAAGGUAUAUAUUCACGCAGAUCACACUUGUAGUUCUUGUUUUUGAUACGUAAAGCAUAACUUAUGAAGAUUUAUAUUGAUAUGUGAUUGGCUUAGGACAUAAAGGAUGUUCCAAGACGAAGAAAAAGAAGAAGAAGAAGAUGACCAAGACUUGUUCUGAAUCGUGAUCAAAACAUUGACGCUAUCUUAACCUGAGCUUUAAUAAUUGGUCUCAUUUCUUCUUCUUCUUGUUUUCUUGACCUUGUAAGACCUUUUCUCUACUCUCUUUUGCCCUCUUACUAUUUUCAUCUUCUAGAUUUCUUGAUUCCGUGGAGUUUAUAAAUCAGUUGUUUAGUUUUACUAAAUCGAUCAAGAUUUUGUUGUAUACUCCUAGGAUUCAUACUCCCCCUCUUUUAUAUAUCCCUCUUGAGCUAUCUAAGUUUUGUACUAAUCUCUCAUAGUAUGUAUUGUUUUAUAUCUAGCGGUCCUAGAGAUGCUUGUAAAC
rnacentral:lncRNA from 1 species